ensembl:lncRNA
UAUUAUUUAUUUACUUACUUAAGGCAUUCAUGUGAUAUAUGCUGUAUUCUACAUAUGGGAACAGGGAGAGAAGCGAUGACUGAGAGUUAGAAAAGUACACCAUUUUCCUGGAAGGGCUGUCGGGUUUCCAUACUGAUUGCUCUUUGUGAUAGAAGGAUGACUAAUUUUUAAAAAAUGAUUCAUUAAAGAAGGGUCUGCUGGGUGAUUUUCUUUAUUUCCUGUCUGUUUGUGCAUGGUGUUUUGUUGUGACUCUGAACAGAACGGCAAGACAUGAUUAGAGCACGUACUGAUGGAGAUGUGCUGAAGUCAAAUAACCAAAAAGCUGAGGUCUGUGGGUCAGGAAGGGAAACUUUCGUGGCAUGUUCGCUUCUACCACAGGGACCCUCUGUCUUAAACUGUUUGUUUCAUCAGUAUUGAAGCUGCUGAAGUUUUCAGAAAGCCAAUCUUGUGCAUGUUAGCUGUACCAGACCCAAACUGGGGGGAUAUGUCUAUGCAGCUAUGUAAAAUAAAAGGAAAUGUCACUCUUGUUUGUUUAUGUACAAGCGUUUACAAGCUUAUGCAUAUUUGACUACAGUAGAGCUACCCUGGUGGCUGCACGGGACAUCUGUGAUGCAAUGAGCAUGCAGUGAUUCACCAGUACAGAACAUGAGGACGCAUGUGAUGACUCACUUCUUCCCUCCUGCUCUCUUAUCUCACCAAUCUGAAGAAAAGCUUGAUAACUUGUACCAGAGUUUUGGGAACGAUAAAUACAAGCUCUAAUAAUUUGACAGCGAGAUGUAUUUGACUAUAGAUUGAGUUUCCCUUAAGAUUGCCUUAAGGGAAAGAAGUUUCCCUUGUUUCUGUAGAUAAAAAUGACCAGUACAAAGCACUUGAGAAUUGCUUUAUGGGUUAAGCUUGGAGCAGUGUCAAUUUUUGAUAUCCAACUACAGCAAAGCUUGCCAGUUUGGAGGAGGAAAAAAAAAGAUAACAUGAAAAAAAUUGUGCUCUUCAAAGCUUCAAUUUCUCCCAUUUACGUAUAUAGAGAUAUAUAGAUAUUUUCAUUUGAACACCUUUGAUUUUUCUGUUAAAAAUACAAUAAACAAAUGUAUUCUUUUGGAAUAAAAACCAGACAAUGCUGUACUUUUUCCUCCAAGAAGGAAAAAGCUGGUAUCUGCUUUAGUUUUUGGUGGGUGAGCCCCUCUGCAAAGGUUUAGAUUUUUCUGUCAGUGUUUUCCCAGCUCCUUGUUUGAUGUAUCUGUUCGACUAGAAAGGAUUGAUAGGCCAAGGGGGAAUGGUUUCAAACUGGGCAGGGGAGGUUUAGGUUGGAUAUUAGGAGGAAGUUUUUCACCCAGAGGGUGGUGAUGCACUGGAACAGGUUGCCCAAGGAGGUUGUGGAUGCCCCAUCCCUGGAGGCAUUCAAGGCCAGGCUGGAUGUGGCUCUGGGCAGCCUGGUCUGGUGGUUGGCGACCCUGCACAUAGCAGGG